UACGAAGGGGGCUAGCGUUGCUCGGAAUUACUGGGCGUAAAGGGCGCGUAGGCGGAUAGUUUAGUCAGAGGUGAAAGCCCAGGGCUCAACCUUGGAAUUGCAGUCGAGACUGUUCGGCUAGAGUGUGGGAGAGGGUGGUGGAAUUCCCGGUGUAGCGGUGAAAUGCGUAGAUAUCGGGAGGAACAUCAGUGGCGAAGGCGACCACCUGGCCCAACACUGACGCUGAGGUGCGAAAGCGUGGGUAGCAAACAGG
rnacentral:rRNA from 1 species